AUUGAACGCUGGCGGCAGGCUUAACACAUGCAAGUCGAGCGAGCGGCGGACGGGUGAGUAAUGUCUGGGAAACUGCCUGAUGGAGGGGGAUAACUACUGGAAACGGUAGCUAAUACCGCAUACCAUCAGAUGUGCCCAGAUGGGAUUAGCUAGUAGGUGGGGUAAUGGCUCACCUAGGCGACGAUCCCUAGCUGGUCUGAGAGGAUGACCCGCCACACCUGGACUGAGACACGGUCCAGACCCCUACGGGGGGCAGCAGUGGGGAAUAUUGGACAAUGGGUGGAAGCCUGAGUGAGCCAUGCCGCGUGUAUGAAGAAGGCCUUCGGGUUGUAAAGUACUUUCAGCGGGGAGGCGUUACUCGCAGAAGAAGCACCGGCUAACUCCGUGCCAGCAGCCGCGGUAAUAC
rnacentral:rRNA from 1 species